rnacentral:rRNA from 1 species
AAUAUUUCGCAAUGGAGGGAACUCUGCCGCAGCGACGCCGCGUGAGCGAUGAAGGUUUUCGGAUCGUUAAGCACUGUCCUUGGGGAAGAAGGCGGCCAUUUAUGGUCACUGCACGGUAUCCAAGGAGGAAGCCCCGGCUAACUACGUGCCAACAGCCGCGAUAAUACGUAGGGGGCAAGCGUGGUCCGGAAUUAUUGGGCGUAAAGGGUGCGUAGGCGGCCUUUUAAGUCAGAUGUGAAAGACCACGGCUUAACCGUGGGGUUGCAUUUGAAACUGGAGGGCUUGAGUAUCGGAGAGGGGAGUGGAAUUACCAGUGUAGCGGUGGAAUGCGUAGAUAUUGGGAGGAACACCAGUGGCGAAGGCGACUUUCUGGUCUGUAACUGACGCUGAGGCGCGAAAGCGUGGGGAGCAAACA